GCGGGCGUGGCGGAACUGGUAGACGCGCUGGUUUUAGGUACCAGUAUCGUAAGAUGUGGGGGUUCGAUUCCCUUCGCCCGCACCA
rnacentral:tRNA from 1 species